UACCUGGUUGAUUCUGCCAGUAGUCAUAUGCUUGUCUCAAAGAUUAAGCCAUGCAUGUCUAAGUAUAAGCAAUUUAUACCGUGAAACUGCGAAUGGCUCAUUAAAUCAGUUAUCGUUUAUUUGAUAGUACCUUACUACUUGGAUAACCGUGGUAAUUCUAGAGCUAAUACAUGCUAAAAGCCCCGACUUCGGAAGGGGUGUAUUUAUUAGAUAAAAAACCAAUGC
rnacentral:ncRNA from 1 species